rnacentral:rRNA from 1 species
GACGAACGUUGGCGGCGUGCUUAAUACAUGCAAGUCAACUGAAGCAGUGGUAGCAAUAUCGCUGUGGAGGUGGCGCACGGGUGAGUAACACGUAGGUAAUCUGCCUUCAGGUCUGGCAUAACUCCGGGAAACCGGGGCUAAUAGCAGAUGAUGCAGCGGCUCGACAUCGAGACAGUUGUUAAAGCUAUGGCGCCUGAAGAUGAGCCUGCGUCUGAUUAGCUAGUUGGCGGGGUAACGGCCCACCAAGGCAACGAUCAAUAGCUGGUCUGAGAGGAUGAUCAGCCACACUGGAACUGAGACACGGUCCAGACUCCUACGGGAGGCAGCAGUAAGGAAUAUUGCUCAAUGGGAGAAAUCCUGAAGCAGCAACGCCGCGUGAGGGACGAAGGGCUUUUGCUUGUAAACCUCUGUAGGGAGAGAAAAAAAUCCCAAUCUUUGGGACAUGAUGGUAUCUCAAAAGUAAGCCCCGGCUAACUACGUG